AGAGUUUGAUCCUGGCUCAGAACGAACGCUGGCGGCAGGCCUAACACAUGCAAGUCGAGCGCCCGCAAGGGAGCGGCAGACGGGUGAGUAACGCGUGGGAACGUGCCCUUUGGUUCGGAAUAUUCCCGGGAAACUGGGAGCAAAACCGGAUAAGCCCUUCGGGGGAAAGUUUACGCCAAAGGAUCGGCCCGCGUUAGAUUAGGUAGUUGGUGGGGUAACGGCCUACCAAGCCUACGAUCUAUAGCUGAUCUGAGAGGAUGAUCAGCCACACUGGGACUGAGACACGGCCCAGACUCCUACGGGAGGCAGCAGUGGGGAAUCUUGGACAAUGGGCGCAAGCCUGAUCCAGCCAUGCCGCGUGGAUGACUGAAGGCCCUAGGGUUGUAAAGUCCUUUCGACGGGGGCGAUAAUGACGGUACCCGUAGAAGAAGCCCCGGCUAACUUCGUGCCAGCAGCCGCGGUAAUACGAAGGGGGCUAGCGUUGUUCGGAUUUACUGGGCGUAAAGGGCGCGUAGGCGGAUUUUUAAGUCGGGGGUGAAAUCCCGGAGCUCAACUCCGGAACUGCCUUCGAUACUGAAAGUCUGGAGCACGGUAGAGGUGAGUGGAAUUCCGAGUGUAGCGGUGAAAUGCGU
rnacentral:rRNA from 1 species